CCUACGGGUGGCUGCAGUCGAGGAUCUUCGUCAAUGGGCGAAAGCCUGAACGAGCGACGCCGCGUGCGGGAUGAAGGCCCUUGGGUUGUAAACCGCUGUCAGGGGGGAUGAAACCGCAAGGUUGACAGAGCCCCAGAGGAAGCACGGGCUAAGUUCGUGCCAGCAGCCGCGGUAAUACGAACUGUGCGAACGUUACUCGGAAUCACUGGGCUUACAGGGUGCGUAGGCGGCUUGUUAAGCAGGGUGUGAAAUCCCUCGGCUCAACCGAGGAACUGCGCUCUGAACUGGCGAGCUGGAGUAUGCUAGAGGUGUAUGGAACUUCCAGUGGAGCGGUGAAAUGUGUUGAUAUUGGAAGGAACACCAGAGGCGAAAGCGAUACACUGGGGCAUAACUGACGCUGAGGCACGAAAGCCAGGGGAGCAAACGGGAUUAGAUACCCUAGUAGUC
rnacentral:rRNA from 1 species